rnacentral:rRNA from 1 species
AGAGUUUGAUCAUGGCUCAGAUUGAACGCUGGCGGCAUGCCUUACACAUGCAAGUCGAACGGUAACGGGCCUUCGGGUGCCGACGAGUGGCGAACGGGUGAGUAAUGCAUCGGAACGUACCUUUCAGUGGGGGAUAACGUAGCGAAAGUUACGCUAAUACCGCAUAUUCUGUGAGCAGGAAAGCAGGGGAUCGCAAGACCUUGCGCUGAUUGAGCGGCCGAUGUCAGAUUAGCUAGUUGGUGAGGUAAAGGCUCACCAAGGCGACGAUCUGUAGCGGGGUCUGAGAGGAUGAUCCGCCACACUGGAACUGAGACACGGUCCAGACUCCUACGGGAGGCAGCAGUGGGGAAUUUUGGACAAUGGGGCAACCCUGAUCCAGCCAUGCCGCGUGAGUGAAGAAGGCCUUCGGGUUGUAAAGCUCUUUCGGCCGGGAAGAAAUCGCAUGGGUUAAUACCCUGUGCGGAUGACGGUACCGGCAUAAGAAGCACCGGCUAACUACGUG